rnacentral:misc_RNA from 1 species
UUGAAGAAUAGAGUGCGCUUCAUUGCGGCUCGACCUUCACAUCCACCCACCCUGUGCACCGUAAUAUAAUUUAAACCCUACUAGUUGAUGGAUGUAAACAAACUUCAAAGUUAAUA